UUUCCUGGAUCUGAAGUUAAAAACAGUUAUAUGGGUACUGAAAGCUGAACCUAAGUCCCCUGCAAGAGCAGCAGAUGUUCCUAACUUCUGAGCUAUCUUGUUGGCCCCAAGUGCACGUAAUUUUAUUAGUAGCAUUGAGGACAUCACAAAAUAAUAUGGAAAACUUGUCGGUGGGAACUCAGAGUAAUUUGGGGGGCAUAAAUGUAACCUUGCCUAAAAUAGUUGAAACGUGCUUUUAUUGUCUAAGAAAAUUUGAGACCAUUCCUUUGGAAUGAGCAUGCCAUGCUGUGUAAUAUCUAAAAGUCACACCCAUGAUCCUAUCUGUAGGAUCAUUUCCGUCAGCUCCUCCACCCACCCAUACAUGGGUGGAGAUGUCCCACAGAGAAAGGAGUAUGUGUGUGCUCAGGAAUGAAGUCAGACUACAGCACUGACCACCAUGUGUACAGGUCAGCAAGAUGAAAGCAAGAGACCCAUAUUGAAGACAUGUAUGUACAUGUGUUUACACAUACUCAGUGAUGAUGGGGGGAAAAGUCCCUCAGGUCUACCACCUACACACUUGUGACAUCCCUGAAGAAAAAUAAGAAGCAAAAAAGAAUAUAUAUAUAUAUAUUUCAAGUCCAAUUUGUGUAGAUCAUAUACUCAUUGGAGCAUGGUCAAACUUCCCCAACCACACUCCUGCCAGAAGCCAUCAACUGUGAAGAGCUACACUUAAGCAUUCCCAUCACAAUUUAUAAGAGUUCUCUUCAGUGACUUCCAGUCUAGACUAUUCCUUGGUGGGGAGCAGGUAAGAGUUAUCACAGAAGCCUUCUGAGUCUCUCAUUGUCAACUGAAUCUUCAGUCAUCAAUGUCACUGCAAAAGAAGCUUCCUUGACAUUUAUAGCCAGUGGGAGCACAGAUCAUGAACUUCCUCAUGGUAUCUGGUGACAGCAUGGACCAUGGACAUCCAUAUGCCCUCCAGCUUCAGCGUGGACCAUGGACCUCAGCAUGGUCUCCUGUGGCAGUAAGGACCACAUACAUCGACACAACCCUCAGCUGAAGUAUGGACCACGGAUACCAUUAUGGCCCUAUCUGGCAGCCUAGGUCACAGACAUCAACAUGGCCUCAGGCAGAAGCCUGGUGAGGGCAUCCAUUUGUCCUCCAACAGGAAAAUGGACCACAAACAACAACAUAGUCUCAGGUAGCAGCACAGGCCACAGACACCAACAUGCGGCAACAGGGACCAUGGGUAUCAACAUGAACCUCCACCAUUACCACCACAGACAUCAACAUGGCUUCCUGCUGUGGCACAGACCCGGUAUAUAUAAACAUGGUAUCCAGGGGCAGCAGGACCAUGGAGAUCUUUCAAGAAGGCCCAAUUAAGAAAAUGAACCAUUCUCCAUCUCAGACAUCUUGUCAUUUGUUGCUGAGAGCCAGAGCAAUGGUGAGGCUGGGCAGUGUAUUCAGACAGGCUCCAGGUUGUUGCACAGCACCCUGCCCAACCUACUCAGCAACAACAAGCUUCCCUCUCCACCCCAGUCUUCUACACCUGUCACCACUGUGGUGACUCUAGUUCCAACUCUCUCCACAGCACACAGGCCACUCUGUUCCAACAUCUUUCCCACCUCUUCAUCACAUAUUUGUUUAUUGAAAUGGUAUUGGAAACUUCAGUGUGUCACUAUAUAUACAUGCAAAUAUUCAUUGCAGCAAGUCAUUGGUGUGAUUCAAACUUUCUGGUUUCUGAAGCACCAUAAAUACUGGAUCAUUGUUUGGACUUUCUCAGAUUCAGGAUGAUCUUGUUGUUAGGCAAUGUGUCUGCCGGCAGGAUCCCUGUGAGUUCCAAUUCAUCACACACACACCUGUCCUUGGUGUCACCGUGCAUCAUUGUGCUUGCAACCCAUUGGCAGUGACUUGGUCCCACACUCUCCUUCUCCCAGCAGGGUGAGCAGCAUGGCCUGAAGCAGCAGUGACUCCAUGGUAAGGGCCAGCCCAAGAGCAUAGGGCAGGCCCUAUUCAGUAACAACAUGUUCAUUAUUGUGGCUAAGCUCCCAUGUUGCUCCCAUACCCUUGAGGGCAAUGACUCUAGUUUCACCAUUCUCUGCCUCGGGUAUGUCUCUGCUCAACCAUCUUUCUGUCCAAUUUUGUGAGUCCACAUUUUAAAAGCAUCUUCCCAUAAGACCUGAUGUUUUUAGUUGUUCUAGAGAUUCUAGAGAUACUGUGGGCUCUGUAAACUCUUCUGCCACCACCACUUCUCUCUUCAGAGCCUCCAUGGGUCUCUCAGGCUCCUCGGAGCUGCUCCCUGGGAGCUAUUGCCAUCUUAAGUCCUACUUGGAAAAAGCCAUUUAUAUCCAUACUUUGGUACCUAGGAAAACAUACCUUGAAUUGUCAAAGUUGUUAAGAAUAUCUUCAACAUCAAGGAUCUACUAUUAUAUCUUAGAGAGAUACUGUAUUCAGGAUAAAAGGUGCUUGUAUACUGGACUCACCAGCCUCUUAUUCAGCUCGCUCCUUUUUUUUUCUUUUCAAUUCCUUUCUUUUGGUUUCUGUGACUGAGAACAGAUUAAAUGAUUAAAAUCUUCUCACAGAAACAUAUCUCAGUCAUCCAGCUGUUUCUGCGUCAGAACCUUGCUGUGGAACAAUAACUCUAUACUACAAAUAUGCAUUACUCUCAUUGUUAAUAAAAACCUGAUGGCUAGUCAAGAUUUGGAGGGCAGAAAGAAUGCUAUGAAAGAGGAUGGCAUCAGAGGAGUAGGGACAUGUGCAAGUCAUGAGCCAUAUGGCAGCACAUAGAUUAAUAAAAAUGGGUUAGUUUAAGUUAUAAGAGCUAGGUAAAAACAAGCCUAAGCUAUCAGCUGAGCAUUUGUAGUUAAUAUUAAGUCUCUUUGUGGUUAUUUUGGAGAGACUGCUAGGACCACUCACAGUUCCUGUCAAAGGAGCUUUCACCCAAGAGCCCCUUUGGUCACCAAGACCACUGACCCUGGUUGCCACAACCGAUAGUGGGACCCUCACCCACAUCUGCCUUAGUCCCGCCAGUCCCGGUGGCCCCAAAGCUGACAGGACUCAGAGGUGCCUCUGGUACAGCUCUCACCAGUUAGGGCCUGCCUGCUUCUUACCUGUCAGGACCAGCGGUGCCCUACCUUAGGAAAAAACUUUCAAAUCUGUACAAAACUACAAGUAUUAUUGGAAAUAAAACUUCAAAAUGUUAACAAUUGGUAUUUCUAAAUGACACAAUUGUAUUUUUCUUUUUAUGAUUUAACUAUUUUCUCUGCAGUUUUGUAUUUGUAUCUCCAUUGGGUGAUUGUCCAACUGUGUUAUAAUGUCACACAUGACUGGACUGAAUGAUUCUUCCUUCAGAAAAGCUCAGGGAGGCUAAGCCAACACACAAAGCCUUAAGUUAUUAAAUCAACCCAGAACCUUCUCAGUAAGGACAGUGGCGAUGAUGGAUCAGCCAAUGGGCCCUUGUGCCUCAGUGAGUUUUGAUUAAAGGCUCUGGAGAUGGGUGAUGUGCCUAGGUAUAGCAGGUAGAGCAGUCAUGCCUGAUCUAAUCCUUCUUUUGUGACUAUUGUGAAACAGAGAAGGUCAUCAAACUCACUGGACCCAGGGACUCUGUUUCAUAGUACUGUCAGUUUUCAAUGAAUCUUUUAAUUCUGGGAUAUUAGGUUGCUAUAGAGUACCUUUAUUUAAUUAAACUUGAUAGUUAAAUAUAAAACUUCUUUUAAAGCUCAGAGUAACUAUGUCCCUGUGUUAGUUAGGGUUACUGUUGCCUUGAUGAAUACCAUGAACAAAGAAACUUGGGGAGGAAAGGAUUUAUUUGAUCACAUCAUUGUUUAUCAGUGAAGGAAGUCACAAUAGGAACUCAAGCAGGGCAGGAACCUGGAGGCAGGAGCUGAUGCAGAGGCCAGGAAGGGGUGCUGCUUACUGACUUGCUUCUCAUGUUUUGUUUUGUUUUGUUUUGUUUUGUUUUGUUUUUUUCCUUUCCCUCCUGUAGAACUCAGAACUGCCAGUCCAGGGAUGGCUCCACUCAUAAUGGGCUGGGUCCUUCCAUAUCAAUCACCAAUUAAGAAAAUGCCCGCAGGUUUUUGUACAGCCUGAUCUUAUGGAGGCAUUUUCUUAAUUGAGGUUCCCUUCUCUCAGAUGACUUUAGCUACCCAACACAGUCCCUCUAUGCUAAUGGUGAACAUAAAAUCUACUUGAUGCUCCCAGUCUUAAUAUUCACAGGUGUUGUUUUACACAUGUUUGCAACUCUUUUUUUUUUUCUUAAGAGGAAGUAUAUGAGACUCUGGAAUUCUUUAGAAGAGGGCUUUAAACCAAUCACAUUAGAGCUCUGAGACAAUACUUUAUUUUCUGUGUGUUAUGAAGAACUGAACAGUAAUCCAAAACCCAAUGAAACUAUUAAUUUUUCACUGGAAGAACAAUAUUCUCUCAAUCAGUGAUGGGCAGGAUCAAAGACAGCUUUGCAGCGGGUUGAUAAAAUGCAUUACCUGAAUUGUCUACCAAAUCCAGCUUGAAGAUCCAUAUUUUUCAUUUAUUUCUUACAUUCUUAUUACACAGAACCUUAAUUUGGUCACUGUUGACCCCAGUUCUUCCUCCCUUGGAUGGCAUUGGGGAAGGAUUGUAGAAUCAUCAGAUUUGUGUCAAGACUGAUAUUCCCGAGCAUACAUAGGGCUAUGGAGCAACAGGGGCCCUCAUUCCUUGCUUGGAGGAUACAAAAUUCUAAAGCUUCUUUGAAAGGAGUUUUGGUAGUAACUUAUAAAAAAAAUUGGGGUCUGGGAUUCAGGUAUCUUGGUAUCACUCAAAGGAAUUGGAAACCUUUGUGGCAAUGUUUUUAUUGGAAUCUUAUUCAUAACUGACAAAACUUGGAAGCAACAAAAGUGUCAUUCCAUAAGUAAAUGUGUAAUCCAACUGCAGCAGGAGAUAGCUGUCAAUUCUAAAGACAUUUAGGAUAAACUAAGCUAUUAUAAUCUUUCCUACUAUUUCUUACCCUCUGCCAGAACUUGACAUUAUCAGAUAUUAAGAGAAAAACAUUUGACUGUGUGGAAGAGGUGGAGAUUAAUAUAAAUACAAUGUUCACUCUGGAAGCCACUUCAGAAAGAAGUACAUGUUCUUUUGUUCCAAGUGUUUCAUUAAGCUACAUGACAAUGCUUUUAAUGAAGAACUGAUUUACUGAUUAAAUAAGCUCUUUAUUCCUAGCUAUUACCAACUGGGAAGAACGCUAUGGGAAUGGCUUCUACACAAAGGAGGGAGUUUGCAGCUGUCUAUACCCUGGUUUCAGAGCUGGACUCAGAGCUGGGUCAUUUGAGAAACUUGAAGGGAGUGGGAAGCUGAAAUCAAACCAAAAUGAGUCAUGGAGCAAGUUGAAGAUAACAGGGUGAAUUUGUCCAGUGUAAACUGUUUUGAUAAGCCUUUUCCAGUUGAAGGGGAUCAGGGAAGGCAAACAGUUUAAGUGUGUGGAGAGCAGACUGGAGAAGGAUUAUUUUUUUUAGGAUAAGGAAUGUGAAAUUGUUUUUAAAAGGAAGGGAAAGAGUCAACAGAAGACAGAGGUCUGAGGUAAGAGAAGUGGAUAUAAUUGAGAAUGAAAGUUCUCGGAACAGACAGGAAGAGGGUAGGGAUCCAACGUGCAAAGGGAGGGGCUUAUCUCUGGACACAUAUGAGACAGGGUGACAAGAGAAAAGAAGGGGUUAAGGUCAAACAAAUAUGGAAAGAAGUGAACUUGAAGGAAGUCUCGCUUGAUGGUAUUUUUCUCCUUUAAAUUGGAGAGCUGGCCAACUAUUAGGUGUCAGAGAAGUUAUGAUUAGAUCAAUCAAAGUUAAAAUAAAAUGGUUGCAACUGAUAUAGGAUGGGAAAUGAUGUUAAUAAAGGCAAGCUUCACUGUGGAGUAGUGCAGAGAGAAGAUACAAACUGGUAAAGACCUGGUAGGACUAUGCUGAACAUUUCCAAUUUCCCACUUAAAAAAAAAAAAAGAGUCUAGUGCUGAGUUCCAACUCAAAAGUGCUGUUGGGUAAUAGACCUUCCUUCAUGACCAUGAGACUUUAGUGAUGAACUUGUUUUAAAAGGAUGCCAAGUGUCGCUGAAAACAACUGGAAUUGGAAAUAGAUCUGCAUUUUCUGGCUGUGCUAUUUGCAGGAUUCUCUUGAGGGUGCUAAGAAAGCUAUCUGAAGCUCAGUUUUGAAAACUAUAAAGGGAAGAUAGGAUUAAAUGAGAUACACUGUUCUUUCGAAGAUUAUACUAUUGUUUUUAUUGUUGCUGUAGUCUAGAGGUGAGUCUACAGUCUAGCAGGAGGUUUCUAGUAGACUGCACCUUUGAAGUUGAUAUCAGUACUACCUACUACCCCAUCUGACUUUUUCACUGCACUGCACACUACCCCACCUGUCAUUCUCACAUAUGUUUGCUGUCUUCUUCCAUUGAGAAGAAUUGUAGCCCAUGCUCUUGAAACACAAAAGGCUUCUAGCACUGUUGAACAUUAGUCAAACAAAGCGUGGCAGAAGUGACAUUGGACAACCUUUCAGGCAAGGACAUAGAAGAAGACUUGGCUUCGAUUUUGUCCCAUUCUGAAGUAUUGACCUGUGGUGUGACUCAACAUACAGCUUUGAGAUUAUUGCACUCUGAGGAGUGCCUCAUUUCCUCAUGUUAUGAGAUUGAACAGAAAAGCUAUGUGACCCUAAGAAAAGAGAGAAAAGUUUGGACAGACCCUACCUGCUACAGCUCUACCUUCUUGGAGACACGUCUGCCCAGCCACACUACUAAUAUGUUCCUAACAUGUACAAAUCAUGAGAAACAAUAACACUGUGCUCUUCAGGGAGACAUGAAUCUGAAUUUCAUAAAGGAAAUCUACAGCAAAGGAGUUGCACAUGACUUUCUGGAUCCGUCAAUUGCUAAAAUCAGUCACAUCUUCUUUUAGUAUCAGUUUAUUUGAAACUACUUUAUUACCAAAAAAAAAAAACCUGUAUCCUCCAGAUACUUGUAUGGAUAUACCAUUUGGAGAUAAUCCCAGCUUUCUGCAUAUUGCCUACUUCUGUUCACAUCAUAGCUUUGAUCCUUGUACACACAGCUAAUUCUUCACAUACUUUACAACAUGAUUAUUGGUUUUACCAUUUAUGACAAUGUGGUUCCUAUUAUAUUAAUUUGCAGUUUUGCCUCUCAUGGUCAAACUUCCCCAAACAUUUCAUCUCUAUGUUUCUUUUUGAGGCAAGUUGAUGAUGGUGACAAUGAGUCUGGGAAUCUUCUUCCUCUUUUCUUUGCUCUUUGAAAAGAGAUUGUAAUGUGCCUGCUUUUCAGUUUUGCUUAGUACCAAAAUAAUGAAAUAUGUCUUACUGUCUUUUGUUAUUAUAAAAUUCAUUGUCUCAACUUGUAAGUUGCCCUUGGGAAGUAUGUAUUAUCAAGGAAAAGAAACAAGCCCCCUUUCCUCACUUUCCUUCUGGUUUAGACAUGAGUUCUUCUGGAAAGUGGUUGGGAGAUUAACUUCUGACAUGAUGGAGUCAUUCUGCCAAUACCACACCUUCUCUUUCUUCCAUUUUUGACACUGGCUCCCUUUGGAAGUCUCAACACUCAUAUGGUUUCUUUCCUAGAACUGCAGAAGAAUUUGCUCUUAACCCUAAAUUUACACUGAUGUAUAAAUGAUUAUCAAUGACACAUUUGUUGGUCAUAGUUUGAAGGAUUGAACCUUAAGUUUUAGUUAUGCUGCUCAAUCUCCAGCCCCAAGCUACAGCACUAUGAAAUUUAUUUUUAAAAGCUUUUCCACCCACUGAAAGAUUUCCAGUGAAGUAUUCAUUUCUUUAGCUUUAAUACCACUGUGAAGUGGCAUCAGAUCUUGCCUCUUCCCUAGUUCUCCAAGCUUACCACUAGAUCAAAUAAUUACAUUAUUUCAAACUCAAAUGUGUGUAUUUCCUGGCAUUGCCUUUUAUGUAAGCUUGAUUUUACUCAGAUUUGGAACUAAGUUGUUUGUCAAUGAAGGGAAAAAAGUAUUUGGUACUCUCAACCAAUUCUUACCAGUAAUGGCAACACACCUGUAAUCCCAGCACUCAAGAUGGAUGCAGAGGGGUCAGGAGGUCCUUGGAGUUCAAAGGUGCAUACUAAAGCCUUAGCCACUCUCUUGUGUCACUCUCUUCCUCUACUGCAAACAACCAAAUAAACUGCCAACAAACCAAACCAAGUAAACACAUA